rnacentral:rRNA from 1 species
UACGGAGGGUGCGAGCGUUGUCCGGAAUCACUGGGCGUAAAGGGCGCGUAGGCGGCGCGGGCAGUCAACGGUGAAAGCUCGGGGCUCAACUCCGAGUCGGCCGUCGAUACUCCCGUGCUCGAGCACUGUAGAGGCAGGUGGAAUUCCGGGUGAGCGGUGGAAUGCGUAGAGGAUCCGGAAGAACACCGGUGGCGAAGGCGGCCUGACUGGGCAGUGC